rnacentral:lncRNA from 1 species
CUCUAGUCCACAUAGGGGUAUAAAUUUGCAAUUGAGACACAUUCAAGGUUCAGAACUUUUGUUAUAAAUUAUCAGGGUACCUUCAUGUGGACAUAAGGCUGUCUACGAAGAUGGGGGAGUAAUUCUGAUUUUCCUGACUCCUGGACUGCGUACCCUGGUGAUUGUGGUGUCAUCAGGAAUGGUGGAAAUCGUGUGCUGCACAGAAUAGUGAUCUGAAGGGGUG